rnacentral:lncRNA from 1 species
GCUAAGUAUAGAAGGAUAGCUCAGCUCAGCACAUAGCUCAAGAUAGCUCAGAUCAUAUCAGGAUAGGUCAUAUCAGCAUAGAUAGUUUUUCUCAGUACAUAGCUCAUAUCAGGAUAGCUCAGCUCAUAUCAGCAUAGAUAGCUCUUCUCAGCAUAUAGCUCAGGAUAGCUUAGCUCAGUACAUAGCUCAGGAUAGCUUAGCUAAUAUCAGGAUAACUCAUAUCAGCAUAGAUAGCUCUUUUCAACAUAUAGCUCAGAAUAGCUCAGCUUAUAUCAGGAUAGCUCAUAUCAGGAUAGAUAGCACUUCUUAGCACAGCUCAGGAU